GUAUUGGUCAAUCGGUUAUAAUUAUUUUUGAAGGUAACGUAAGCUUAAUUCUAAGUGCUGACCCAUUUAACUAUUUUCUAGCGAUAUGACAUGAUUUAUCAUUAGAAGUACCAGCUUCAAUCUCUCAAAAGGGGUGAUUAUCUAUAUGCGUAAAAUAAAGGAGUUCGCUGAUUAUCUUCAAGUUAUUGAUCGUGUUCUAACUGAUUCCGAGCUUCUGCUUUAUGCCUUGAAUGGGUUGCCACCAUCAUAUGAAUCCUUCAUCAUCAUGGCUUCUAAUCAAAUACCCCCUCCAUCUUUUUUCAGAACUUUGGAGACGACUUCUAACACAAGAAACACGUCUUGAACAUCUUUAUGAUAUCCCAACUUCCUCAUCAUCAACGGCUCUUGUUACAACCAAUAUACCAAAAGCUGAAGUUUCUCCAGUCAUUACAUCCUUUUCUCGUGGUAAUGGACGAUCAGGUCGCGUGGGACGUAAUGGUGGUCGUUGGUAGAAUCGUGGUCGAGGUGGUAGGUUCUCUAAUUUUGGUCGAGGAUAUAGUGCACCAGUUAGUAAUUCUACAGGUUCUCAGUCUUUCAUGUCUUGUCCAGCAUGUGGUCGUGGAUUACUUGGACCUCCACACUCUCAAACCUCUGUUAUCCCUUCCUUUGUUUAUCCUAAUCCCACACAAGCUCUAGACACAAUGUCAAAUCUGUCAAAAUUUUGGUCACGUGGCGUUGGAUUGCCCUCAUCGUCGCAAUUAUUCAUAUACAUCUUCAGAUUUUUCACGACAAUUUGCAGGUUUUUCCCUUCAAGAUUCACCAAGCCAGGCUUGGUAUCUGGACAGUGGAGCUAGCUCCCACAUGACUUAUGAUCAGGGAUUUGAAGACUGGUAGAUUACUUCUCACAUGCCUCAGUGAUACUCCUAUUUAUCCCCUGGUGGCUUCUUCAUCAAAGUUCAGUCCGUCCUUUUCCAGUAUCGCAUUCUCAUCCGCUCUCUUCGCAUCUCGUGAAUCAAUUGAUACUUGGCUUUCCCGACUUGGUCAUCCUGGAGUUGUUGUUCUAAAUUUCUUGCUUUCUAGUAAAUUUAUUUCCUUUAGUAGAAAUAAUAAAAGGCAAUAUUAUUGUCCUUCUUGCCUAGUUUCAAAACAUGCUACUUUGCCAUUUCUUGUUAGUCACUUUAAAUCAAACUAUUAUUUAGAUUUAAUUCAUUCCGAUGUAUGGA